rnacentral:misc_RNA from 1 species
GUCGUAACAAGGUUUCCGUAGGUGAACCUGCGGAAGGAUCAUUACUGAGUGCGGGCUGCCUCCGGGCGCCCAACCUCCCACCCGUGACUACCUAACACUGUUGCUUCGGCGGGGAGCCCUCUCGGGGGCGAGCCGCCGGGGACUACUGAACUUCAUGCCUGAGAGUGAUGCAGUCUGAGUCUGAAUAUAAAAUCAGUCAAAACUUUCAACAAUGGAUCUCUUGGUUCCGGCAUCGAUGAAGAACGCAGCGAACUGCGAUAAGUAAUGUGAAUUGCAGAAUUCAGUGAAUCAUCGAGUCUUUGAACGCACAUUGCGCCCCCUGGCAUUCCGGGGGGCAUGCCUGUCCGAGCGUCAUUGCUGCCCAUCAAGCCCGGCUUGUGUGUUGGGUCGUCGUCCCCCCCGGGGGACGGGCCCGAAAGGCAGCGGCGGCACCGUGUCCGGUCCUCGAGCGUAUGGGGCUUUGUCACCCGCUCGAUUUAGGGCCGGCCGGGCGCCAGCCGACGUCCAACCAUUUUUCUUCAGGUUGACCUCGGAUCAGGUAGGGAUACCCGCUGAACUUAAGCAUAUCAAUAAGCGGAGGAAAAGAAACCAACCGGGAUUGCCCCAGUAACGGCGAGUGAAGCG